GCUUUGGGGGUUGAGUUGGCUGAGACUUGAAGUAGAAGUGCCAGGACACAAAUAAAGCCAACCUACAGUAUAAAACAUGGCUUUCAAACCAUAGCUUGCUAUUCUUUAUUUUCCCGUUUCCCCCCGCAACUAUGUGAUUCAGAAACCUCCCCUUUUUUCGAUCCUUCUGCAGCCACAAAACACCCUGCAGUCCCAACCCAAAUGAAGGAUUGGAAGUGAGGGGACCUCCUGGCCUUUUGUACGGUCCUCCGGCAGGUAGCUCACACCGCUUCCUUUGGGAAUGAGUACUUCCUACCUGUUGUCUUGCAGUUUGCUGAUUCACAGUUCAGACAUGAAACCAUCUGUAAAUAUUAGCCUAUAUAAUUUGUAGUGAUAUUAAACAAAGUGGUGAGAAUCCUGCUUAAGGAAAAAAAAAUUAAUGGCUUUCCAUAUGGUUCAGAAAAGCUUAACACAUACUAGUUAGCAUAGUGUAGGAACAACACAGUUCUGACUCAAUUUAGCUGUAAAAAUGAAGACUUAGUGAAACAUUAAUUUUCCAAAAUUACGGAGUAUUUUAAUGUGAUUGUAAUUGCCCCUUUGUGCUUUUAAUUUAUUAACAUUGUUAUAACAAAUUAUAACUCAUUGUAACCAAAUGCUUUAGACAUUAAAGAACCAGGCUGGUAUGCUGGCAUCUCGAUAUAAAGGCAAUCUCUGUAUAAUGCAAUCACAGAGUAUCCGUUCUGAUUUACUUGGAAUAACUUACGCUAAUUCUAAUAUUCCUUCUGCAUAGGUAUUGUUACACUUCUGUGUCUCAGGCUGUAUUUCAUGUGUUCACAUACAAGCUUUGUGUGAUGUGUUUCCGUGGGGAGCUGCACCUAGGCUCAGGACAGCCAGAAGAUCUGGAUCAUGUACAAACCAGGCACAGCAAGCUAGUAAAAUGGACAGCCUGGGCAGCAACAUCAUUCACUUUCUCAUACCAGAGCACCCAUUUUGGACACAGAAUGAAAGAAGCAUAUUCAGCCUUUAUGACGCUGAGACCAUUAGCAGUGUUGCUAUUUGAGGGAGGAAGGACAAUAGUGACCCUGGCCUAAGAUCUGUGAUGGACAGCCUGACAAUUUGCAGUUUUAAUUGUCGUUCUCUUUGACCUCCAAGAAGAUGGAAGAAGGACUAUGAAAUGCUAUAAAUAUUGAAAGGGGAAAUGGUAAAUCAGCUCUAAUCCUGCUGCUGAACUGAAAGCAACUAUAACAGUAACUAUAACAGCAACUACAUCAGCAAAUGUGAAAUGCGUGACUUCAUUACAUGAGAUACACUGUUUCACAUCAGGAUUUACGGACUGUGUGUUGGGUUCCAUUUCUUUUAUUCCGAGAACUGGAAACUUUAGCUGCUAGUAACCACAACGUCUAGCUUCAUAAGUGGUGAGGCAUGAGAAGCACUCUGAAUCCAAAGCUGAAAAGCUCUGGAAGUUUUAGAUCCGUUUUUCCCCUCUAAUGUUUAUAAUACAGGAGUAGUACCUGAUGAUAUGCUGUUCGUAAGGUACUUACUUGGAAUAAAACUGAAUGGCUUGUUCA
ensembl:lncRNA